UCGGGAAUUUUGGGCAAUGGGCGAAAGCCUGACCCAGCAACGCCGCGUGAGGGAUGAAGUAUUUCGGUAUGUAAACCUCGAAAGAAUGGGAAGAAUAAAUGACGGUACCAUUUAUAAGCUCCGGCUAACUACGUGCCAGCAGCCGCGGUAAUACGUAGGGAGCAAGCGUUGUUCGGAUUUACUGGGCGUAAAGGGCGCGUAGGCGGCGCGGUAAGUCACUUGUGAAAUCUCUGAGCUUAACUCAGAACGGCCAAGUGAUACUGCUGUGCUAGAGUGCGGAAGAGGCAACCGGAAUUCUUGGUGUAGCGGUGAAAUGCGUAGAUAUCAAGAGGAACACCUGAGGCGAAGGCGGGUUGCAGGGCCGACACUGACGCUGAUGCGCGAAAGCCAGGGGAGCAAACG
rnacentral:rRNA from 1 species